rnacentral:lncRNA from 1 species
UCCAAUGGGAGAGCUUGUCUUGAUGACCCAUAUAUUUUUUCAUAUGAAUGCUGCUUUUUUUUUUUUUUUUUUUUUUUUUACAUUAGGAGAUAUGGAAAGGGAGAAUGAAAAAUACAUCAGGUCUAAUCCAGCCAAACUAAAACCUGAACAACAUUUUUCAGCACCUGGCUUAUCCAGAAUCCAAUGGCAAAUAACAAUGAAGAAAUCACUCCAUGUUAGACCCUUAUAAAAUGAGGGUUGAAGAGGCAGAAUGUCAUACAAGCCUUACUUAGUUCCUGCUGAUCUGGCUUACGUAGACCAGCAUGACUCUAGCUUAUAAGCCAUCCUGUGUAACAUCAUUUUUCACCAUCUAGAACUUCU